rnacentral:lncRNA from 1 species
UCUCAGACUGAGGUGAAGGAGGCUUGCAGACAGAGUUACCCGUGCUGCAGGAGCCGACCAUCUGAGUCCACAGACGAUCAUGACAGAAAGGGUUGAGAGCAAAAAGCGCUUCCUAAAGUCUUCUGUGGUAAUCCUGAGAUCUGGCCGUGCCUUACAUCACGCUGUGAGGUCGGCUGCCUUCUUCUGUGAUGAUGAUUUUCCUUCGGAUUUUUGUCUCCAAAUUGCAGUGGGAUCACUUGAGGCUUAUUUGAAGCAAGCAGCAGCUCGGCUUGCUUGGCCUGCAUUGGGUCCCUCUGGGUGCACCCACAGUCAGGAGUGCGGGAUCCCCUCUGCAGAUACCACCCAACCUGACUGCAGACCACUGCCACGUUGUUGGCCGUGUAACACCCUGCUCCCUGUGCUUCUGUUUGCUGUCCUUGCAUGCCCAGUGGCAGUUUUCUCUCUCUCCUCUGGCUUUUUGUGACAAGUCUUUUCCUCCGUGCCUAGAAAAAACAUAAACGCCCACAAAGACAAACAUAGUGCAGAAUUUACAGCCAGAGCAGGUUCCUCAUCUGCAACCACCCUCUCGGACUCCGUCGUUAGCAAACUGCUGAGGUUGGCCUCCCAGGGCCUUGGGCCGGGCUGCUCCAAAGUGCCAGUCACACCAAACCUGUGAUAGCACUUGGGACUAAGGGAGGAUGGCUGGCCCUGCUUGGAGACGUGACCUGGGGGUAAACUGAGGAAGCCAUGGAGAAAGAGCUGAGAAAUCAAGCAUAGAAAAACCUAAACUAAUUUUGGUAGACUGUUGUAAGGGCGUUGAAUUGCCAUGAACUACUCAGCCUGGUAGCACAGCAGCCAGCGCUUCCAUGGGCAAUUGACAAAGUUCAUAUCAUUCUAUAACACAAACUAUGAAGUUCUAGUACAGACUCUAUUGAUGCUAAAUGCUGUACCAGGAUAUGACAGAAAUUGUUCUGCCUCUAAGAGCUGACGUGGUGCUCCUGGAGCUGCCAUGGAAAGAAGGUGAGGAGAACAAGAGCAACAAUGACACGAUUUCUGGGACUGCCUACCAGCACAGCACACCUUCCCACUGAGGGCUUCCUAACACUAAGUGACACAUGGCAGGAGUCCACAACUGCAGAAGACAGCAGCUGGUUGAGCCCCAGAGGAACCACUUUUAACAAGAAAUAGACAACAAACUACACUUUGUGGUCCUCAAACCUGCAUCUUGAAGUACAGUAACCAACAUGUCCUUGCUGAGGAGUGGGCAGCGAUCUCCAUCAUCAGUGGAGAUGAUGGACAACAUGCAUGAAAAACAAAAUAUGAUGCCCUUGCUAGCAGUCUCAAUCAGUCAAUGGCUUUCUCCUCAAGCUGCAUAACAGGAUUUUAUCUCCUGACCCUUGAGAACUUACGCUGGAUGAGCUUGAAGGAGCCUGAGAAAGACUCCUGUAAUUGCAGACAGCAAAAGCAGAGACACAAAUGAAGGUGUCCACUUCUCUCAAGUACAAACAUGCUGUCAGAGGCAUAUUUCCAGUCUUUGUCCCUCAUAGGGCUGUUCUUCCCCUGAUUUUAGAGUACAAGAUAUUUCCUGCUAGCCAAGUUGAUCUCAAGUUGAAAAUUCAACAUGACUAGCCUCAGAAUAUAUUCAAAAUGAACAGUAAAAACUAUUUGUUUCCAUCUUUGUCAUCCUCCAUUCAUCCUCGCUUUCCACCAUCUGCUACUACAAUCUCCAACUCCAGACAACCCACCAUAGCCUUUCCUGUUGACCCUGAAAAGGAAGGAGCUCUACUUGUAGAGCAAUGAGUCUACCACAGCAGCACAGAGGGAUUUGCAGGCACACAGCCAGGUGCAUGCCAGUGGCCUCCCUUCUCCAAGCACUGCCAGAAGCAGGUGAAACAUGCAUCAAGUCACCUGGCCUCAGCAGAAGUUGGAGACAGAGUGAAGGAGAUGUUAAGGAAGUGAACUUGGGCAGAUAAAUUACCAGUGCAAUUUCACCAGUUUCACCAAUUCCACCAAGGAUGGAUUUGGUCCAAGAAAACAGCAAGAGCAUGACCCUUCACAAAGUCAGAGCCAGGGAAUCAGCAUCACAUGCUACAACUCACAUUUACAGUUCUGCACAUGCACUAGGACAUUAGCUCUCAAUUGCUCAUCUUCAGUUCUCCUAACUC